rnacentral:rRNA from 1 species
UACAGGAGACUGCAAGCGUUUAUUCGGGAUUCACUGGGCGUAAAGGGUGCGCAGGCGGACCAAGUCGUGUGGAGGCGUGAAAGCCCGGGGCUUAACCCCGGAAUUGCACCUCAAACUACAUGGCUGAGAGCAUUGGAGAGGUGAGAGCAGAAUUCAUGGUGUAGCAGUGAAAUGCGUAGAUAUCAUGAGGAAUACCAGAGGCGAAGGCGGCUACCUGGACAAUUGCUGACGCUCGAGGCAACGAAAGCGUGGGGAGCAAAAGGG